UAACCUGCCUCAUACAGGGGGAGGGCAGCUGGAAACGACUGAUAAAACCGCAUAAGCGCACAGCAUCGCAUGAUGCAGUGUGAAAAACUACCGGUGGUAUGAGAUGGACCCGCGUCUGAUUAGCUGGUUGGUGAGGUAACGGCCCACCAAGGCGACGAUCAGUAGCCGGCCUGAGAGGGUGACCGGCCACAUUGGGACUGAGACACGGCCCAA
rnacentral:rRNA from 1 species